AGCAGCCGCGGUAAUUCCAGCUCCAAUAGCGUAUAUUAAAGUUGUUGCAGUUAAAAAGCUCGUAGUUGAAUUUCGGGAUCAGUACGCUGGUCAUGCCUUUGGUAUGCACUGGUGUCACUGGUUUCUCCCUUCUGAAGAUCCGUGAUGUCAUUAAUUUGGUGUCGCGGGGAAUCAGGACUGUUACUUUGAAAAAAUUAGAGUGUUUAAAGCAGGCUCACGCUUGAAUACAUUAGCAUGGAAUAAUGAAAUAGGACGUUUGACCCUAUUUUGUUGGUUUCUAGGAUCGACGUAAUGAUUAAUAGGGAUAGUUGGGGGCAUUAGUAUUCAAUUGUCAGAGGUGAAAUUCUUGGAUUUAUUGAAGACUAACUACUGCGAAAGCAUUUGCCAAGGUAUGUUUUCAUUAAAUCAAAGUAACGGAAAAGUUAGGGGAAUCGAAGACGAUCAGAUACCGUCGUAGUCUUAAACCAUAAACUAUGCCGACUAGGGAUCGGAUGAUGUUAAUUUUAUAAUGACUC
rnacentral:rRNA from 1 species